rnacentral:rRNA from 1 species
GACGAACGCUGGCGGCGUGCCUAAUACAUGCAAGUAGAACGCUGAAGGAGGAGCUUGCUUCUCUGGAUGAGUUGCGAACGGGUGAGUAACGCGUAGGUAACCUGCCUGGUAGCGGGGGAUAACUAUUGGAAACGAUAGCUAAUACCGCAUAAUAGUAGAUGUUGCAUGACAUUUGCUUAAAAGGUGCAAUUGCAUCACUACCAGAUGGACCUGCGUUGUAUUAGCUAGUUGGUGGGGUAACGGCUCACCAAGGCGACGAUACAUAGCCGACCUGAGAGGGUGAUCUGCCACACUGGGACUGAGACACGGCCCAGACUCCUACGGGAGGCAGCAGUAGGGAAUCUUCGGCAAUGGACGGAAGUCUGACCGAGCAACGCCGCGUGAGUGAAGAAGGUUUUCGGAUCGUAAAGCUCUGUUGUAAGAGAAGAACGAGUGUGAGAGUGGAAAGUUCACACUGUGACGGUAUCUUACCAGAAAGGGACGGCUAACUACGUG